rnacentral:rRNA from 1 species
AGAAUCAACGCUGGCGGCGUGCCUAACACAUGCAAGUCGCACGAGAAAGGGACUUCGGUCCUAAGUAAAGUGGCGCACGGGUGAGUAACACGUGAAUCAUCUACCUCCGAGUGGGGAAUAACCUAGAGAAAUCUGGGCUAAUACCGCAUAACACUUACGAGUCAAAGCAGCAAUGCGCUUGGAGAGGAGUUCGCGGCAGAUUAGUUAGUUGGCGGGUAAUGGCCCACCAAGACGAUGAUCUGUA